CGAUCCGAUUAAUCAAUGUUACCAAAGAAUCUACCUAUCGUCUACCGCGGCAAUGCGUCAAAGAUCGACCAUCGUUUUUUAUUUUAUUAUCGUGUAUUAGUCGUACGCUUAACAGUGGUCUGCAGGAAAUUCAUCGUUUGCAAGCUACUCAACACCCAGUGACUGACGAUUUCACCAACAAUCGCAUUGAAGCGUUGCAGCGAUAUCUGCAACGCUCCAGAAUUUCAGUUGACGAAUUUCUUGGGAGUGCCAUCGAUCCUUACCAAUUGGAGCUGGUUACGUUGGCUGUGGCAAGUGAAACUCGGUCCAAUAUAACUGUUUCCUGUGUAAGUGACUUGUUAGAUCCAGUCCAAGGUAUUGAUCGCGCUGGUGACUUAGACCAAAAAAUCAAGUUUUUCGGAGACCUAUUGGGGCCUUGAUGGCUGACAACGAAUCGUCAGAACCCGUAGCGGGACCAUCGCGA